GAGGAUGGACACUUAGAAUUGAAUGUUGUAUUAUCAAACACAAUCACACAUUUGCACUAGGAAGCUAGAAGAGUUCAUGGUGUAAGAAGUAAGGGUGCAAG